AGUGUUUGUCAUCUGCCCUUCCAUUUGCUUUUCUUCAUGUGCAGUGCUCCCCCUCCAUGUUUGAUCAAACUGCACUGAUAAUUUGAAAUUGUUUUAAAAUGCAUUAAUCGCAAAAAUCAGAGGACUAGAUCACAUUUCCCCCUGUUAUUUCACCACUUUAACUUUGGUCUAACCUAAUAUAGGAAUACAGAUAGAAAGAGUGCAGAGAUCACACUCGACGCCAUAACAACCUGGUGUGUUUAAGGCUGAAGCAAAUGGUCAGAAGUCCACACAUACCUCAGUCUCAGCAAUUACAGGUCAACCAAAGCAGUAUUCUCUAAUGCAGUGGACUUGCAAGUACUGCACAUUUUCUGCUGAAAAGAGCCUACUUGCUUAAGCAUUACCGCUUAAAACAUGGAUACCACACUCGGACAGCCCUACUCCCAUGUCUUCAUAAGGACUGCCUCUGCACAUUUAAAUCUUUUAAUGCACUCAAAGUACACCUAUCGACAUGGCACUCUCAAAAAGAUGCAGGCAAAAGUGGAGAAACUGCAUUUGACCGUCAGUUGUGCAACUUUGUGGAGCCCUGCUCAGAAGCAGACUUCUUUACCCAUUUGCGAGGACAUCUUAAGCUGAGGCAAAUGGUUACUUGCCCAUAUCAAGACUAACUUUCAGAGCAGUAUUUAUUCGACCUUCACUGCACACAAAAGCAAAGAAAUGUGAAAUGUGUUUGAGCCAUAGUGUGGGUAGGACAUUUGUGUCUAAAUCAUUCAAUCCCAAUAAAAGUUGCUUUAAUAAAAAAAAACUUAUUUUUAAUCAAAGAAAAAGAACCUUUUGCAAAAAUAUAUUUUUUUGAAAAUAUAUAUAUUUUUAAAUAUAUAUUUUUUUUAUUGACGUGUCACUUUUUUUUUUUAAAGGAAAAAGUUU